GCUCCGGCUGUGACUUCCUGAUGCCCAGUGGGAGAACUGCAGAGCCCAGGACACAGCCCCAAGGUCCUAGAAGAAGGAGAGGUUUGACUCUGUGGGCAGCUUGUUACGAGUCUAUCAGCAGCAAGAACCAGAUCAUCUCGAGAGUUUGGGCCCAAUCAGGUUCCCUGUCCAUCGCUUCAUCUUACCCCCCACCCUCAUCCCCAACCCCCGACCAGACUGGGAUGAUGCGGCAGGACGCUUAGAGGUCUGGCCUCCCCCGCCAGCAGAGGCGCAGGUGCGCCUACAGCUACGCAUGCGUAGCCCGCAGCCUCUGCAGAGCCCGCUGCAAACCUACAGCCGGCGUGGGAAGAAUCCUGUGAGUUACGCUCGGGUCACGUGAUGCGGAGAGCUGGCCAGAUGAACAGAAUGGUGCACUUGUGGAGUUCAGAAGAUAGCUUGUGUGAACUGAUUUAAUCUUCCACCUUGUGAGAUGUAGGAAUCAAAAAGGUCAGCAGCCUCGGCCGCAAAGCCUUUACCCACUGAGCGCCAUCUCUCUGGCCCAGGAGCAGUCUCUAAAGUCAACGGGAGAGGCCUGGAGAGAUGACCCAGCAGUUAACAGCAUGUGCUGCUCUUCUGGAAGGCCCGGGUUUGAUUCCCAGCACCCCUACACCAGCCCACAACCCUCUGGAAGUCCAGUUCCAGGGGAUCUGAUGACUUUCAGCCUCCUCUGACUCCUGUGUGUACAUGGUGCACAUGUGUGCACUCAGACAUGUACACAUAAAAUAAAUGUUUUAAGAUGGAAAAAG